AUUUCAUGUGUCUGUAUUGUUAGGUUUUCCUUUUUACAUCAGGCUUUGACAGAGUGUGAGUCCAAACAUGAAGAUUCGGGUGAAAUUUUUUACUCUUUUUUUCCCGUUCCAUUUUAAAACCACGGUGUUUUUCGUUCCACUUGUAAUUUACCGCGUUUUCCGUUCCAUUUGUAAUUCACUGUGUUUUUCCUGCAGUUGGAUCAGGUUUUGGCAAAGUAUCAGUCCAAGCAUAGGGAUUCAGGCAUGGCAGCUCUACCAAGAGGGAAAGCUGUAGGAGUUAGUCGAUCCAGAACUGGGAGAUUUUCCAGAAAAAGAAGUCCUCAAGUACAUUAAGGUAGCUCUCUUUUGUACACAAGAAAAUGCAAAUCAAAGACCGAUGAUGAGCCAGGUUCCUGACAUGCUCACAAGAAACAUCAAGCUAAAUGAGAAAGAACUCACACCACCAGGAUUUUUCCAAAAUUCGGGGGGUUCUAGUAGCACACAAUCAAAACUGAAGUCAUCUGAAAGCAGUACAAGUCAUCAAAUGAGUUCUGUACCCCUUACAAUCACUCAGGUGACCCCUAGAUAAUCAUUCAAUUAAUCAUUUGUGAAUGGCAAUUGAAUAUUUCACCUCAGGAUGAGUUGACAGCUUUAGUUUUACAAAGAAGAGGAAUUUAGGAAGAAAUUAUUGCCCACGGGGCUUUGGUUUCAGUGAUAAGGAUAUUGCAACACGUGAUAUGUGGGUUAGGCGCAUAUUUACACCAACUACAGUUGGACAGAAGCCAUAGGGAAUUUCUUUUGUAUAAAAAAAUGGAAGAAGUUAUUAUUUGAAUAAAUGAUACCUUAUUUUUUCUAAUUAUUUGGUUUUAUCCUUAAAGGUGCUCAUAUUUUUGU